rnacentral:rRNA from 1 species
GAGGUCGGGCCUGCCCAAUGAGGAAUUUAAUGGCCGCAGUAUCUUGACUGUGCUAAGGUAGCAUAAUCAUUAGUUUUUUAAUUGAAAACUGGAAUGAAAGGUUUAAUGAGAAAAUGGCUGUCUCCUUGCAAUUUGUAGAAAUUUAUUUUUAAGUUAAAAAGCUUAAAUUUAUUUGAGGGACGAGAAGACCCUAUAGAGUUUAAAUAUUGUUUUAACAGAAUAUUUUUUGUUUAUUAUUUAAUUUUAUUAAGACGAAAUUUUGGUUGGGGUGAUUGAAAAAUUAAAUUAACUUUUUCUUUUUGAUACACUUAAUUUGUGACUGGUUUGAUCCGAUAUAAUUGAUUAAAAGAAAUAAUUACCUUAGGGAUAACAGCGUAAUCUUUUUUUAGAGUUCUUAUCGAGAAAAGGGGUUGCGACCUCGAUGUUGGAUUAAAAUUAACUUUAGGUGCAGAAGCUUAAAAGUUUAGUCUGUUCGACUAAUAAAAUUUUACA